GACCGUUUAGCUUAUCAGGUAAAAGCAGCCGACUCAUAAUCGGAGGAUAGCGAGUUCGAAUCUCGUGGCGGUCACCA
rnacentral:tRNA from 1 species